ACCUGGGAAUUGCAUUGGAGACUGCAAGGCUAGAGUGUGUCAGAGGGGGGUAGAAUUCCACGUGUAGCAGUGAAAUGCGUAGAUAUGUGGAGGAAUACCGAUGGCGAAGGCAGCCCCCUGGGAUAACACUGACGCUCAUGCACGAAAGCGUGGGGAGCAAACAGGAUUAGAUACCCUGGUAGUCCACGCCCUAAACGAUGUCAACUAGUUGUCGGGUCUUAAUUGACUUGGUAACGCAGCUAACGCGUGAAGUUGACCGCCUGGGGAGUACGGUCGCAAGAUUAAAACUCAAAGGAAUUGACGGGGACCCGCACAAGCGGUGGAUGAUGUGGAUUAAUUCGAUGCAACGCGAAAAACCUUACCUACCCUUGACAUGGCAGGAAUCCUGAAGAGAUUUGGGAGUGCUCGCAAGAG
rnacentral:rRNA from 1 species